CGCAGAAAGAGUUCCCACAGCAACAAGUUCGAUUAAUUAUUGCUACGGAUACGGAUAUUUUUGGAAGCUUCUGUUGUUGCAGCGCUUAUAAUAUAGAAUUCUACUAAACGAGUUGUCUCUAUCCCAGACUUUCGCAGAAGGCGCAGCUCCAUCAGAAAAAUGGCUAAUGUUUUACUGUAUAACUGAAGAUCGCUUACUAUGGGCAACAACAACAAAUCAACAGUUGUCCAUCAUUCAUCAAAGAUGUGUUACACGCACACAUAUACGUAUGCACAUACUAACUGCAUGUAAGUGUGCUAUGUUGCAUGAUGAAUACCUAAUAUGCAACAAUAAGAAGAAAGCAAUAAAAUCCAACCAUCCGGACGGACUGUGUGUGUUCGCGCAGCAGGUGACAUCUACAGCUGAUGCUUAACAUAGACGCUGAUCCUCUACUGUUCGCGUGUUUGCAGCACUCGGACUUGUUGCUGUUGCUGUUGCUGCUGUUAUUGCAUGCAUGCAGUGUCUGUGGCAGAGGGCGAAAUGGCAAUCUCACACAUGUAGGGUCCAAGAUUUCUUCUUCUUGGCGGGAGUUUUCUUGUUUUUUUCGUAUAUUUUUGAUUUGUUUUGAUUAAUGGCGAGCGACACAAACACUUAAUUUGACAGAGAGGCAGGCGCCUGCACGCUAACAACCAACUGCCACCAGCCACCAGUCACCAGUCAGCGUUGGGAGUGUUCAACCUGGAUGGACUUUGGCAGCAACAUGCCAGCUCAUCAGCGCGUUGCCCUCAGCUAAGAGACAUCACCAGCACAUCAGUAUGUCCGGCUGACAGGCUGGUAGGCACUUGGAGCUCAACACUUUGGUGCCUCCAACUGGCCGUGAGAUAGAUUUUGUGCCGUCGCACUGUUGUGACUACGCACUCGUCACCAUUCCAAGCCGUGAGAUGCAUUCACACACAAGUGAUUGACUUGGCUUACUCAUAAGUGUGUCUCAGUUUGUCUGUCUGUCUGUCUGUCUGUCCGUCUGCAUGUUUUCGGAAAACGAUUUUUCCAUUUAUUUCAAAAGAUUAAUUAACGCAAUCAUAUCAACAACACACACUGUUUGUUGUUGUUGGUGCGCUGAUUCGUAUUUGUUUUGGCAUUCGUUAAGGAAACCUGUUGGUGCUGCUGCUUCUACUUCUCGUUCUGAGAUCAAUGGUUUUUAGUGAUCAAUGUUCUUGUAAUCAUUUCUUACGUACACACAUAUGUACUAGGAGACGUUGCAUGCAACAAAUACAAAUACAAUCAAGAUGCUAAUUUGAGGAAGAUUAAUAAUUUACCUGCAACGGCAGUCAUCUCUACAUCUAUAUAUGUAACUACACAUGUCACAUUUCGAGAAUACAAGAUGCCUUUCGUAGAUUAAAUUCGAAAAUACCAGGAAACUCAUGGGAUAGCUAAGCGAGCUGAAUGAAAAAUAUUUAAUGGAAAAGAAAAUUUUUUUAGCGAGAUGGAUGAAAUGAGGAUAUUUUUUUAUUGGAGUCACUCAUAGAGUCCGCUCAAGCUUUAUCGCCGCUUUUGUAGGUGGAACCUGUGGAUGCUCUCUGACCUCGGUCUUUAAGAUAGUGGCUCGCUAUUUUGUUGCGCCUAUCUGGAAACCGUGCAGCUUUGUUUGGAAUUGCUGCCAUAAAACAAACUCCAAUGGAAGCGAACUAUGAAGUUCGGGUGAGAACCUAAACUGUUGAUUCCAGCCAUGGGACAAACCUCUAUGGAGUUGGUUGCUGAAGUAAUUUUUUAGUAUGCAUUUAGAUACUGCGGCUGUACCUGGAAUGUUCGGUCCCUGAAUCAAUAAGGUAUAUGUCUCAGUUGAUUGAUGACCUUCGACGAAGUAACGGUUAAGAGAACUUCUUAUGCUCUUCAAAUGGGCUGGGACUGAUUGACGACUUCGCUAGUCCUCGAAUUAGGAAUCAAUCACCAUUUCCGGGUUGCCAGGCUCGGAACCCCAGCGAAAAAUGUGUUUCUAAGCACAAGCAAGAUUUGAAUCUCUUGUUAUAAGUUGGCUUAAGGAGUAAGAUUUGUAUAUCUCACGCACCGCCUCCAAAAGAAUAAUUGGGGUUUCACCUACCCACAAAUACCUCCUAACCGAAAGCGUGCUACUGCUGAGAUAUAACGACGAGAUUCCAAAAAUGAGUAAACUAGUUCUGUCCUCUCUAGUUGUCUUCGAAAAAUCAAUCCAUCACUUGAUGGGUUCUAUCUGGUUCCAGUCUUACAAUCAGCAGAAUCUACCUGAACAUACCCUUCUAAUAUAUAGGACGGAGACAUCAACACAAGAAAAGAUUUCCUCGAGAUUUGUAUACAUAUAUAUAUACGAGGGGAUUAACAAAAGCUCGAAAUCACAAGGUGUUUUAUCUGGGGAAUAUGGUGCUGGACGCAUGUCUUCGAUUCCAGAGAUCGCAAUAAAAUUAUUCGUUUAUUCAGAAGUGUUGGAUUUCUUGUGCCAAUCCUGUGUUUUCAUCAAUCUCGGACUUCACCAGAGCUACAGUGACGUCAUCAGUGGUCGACCUUCUCGGUGCUAGUCCUCUACGGAAAAUUUUACGGUAUGUUGUCAUCAAUCACUUCGAAAUAGUCCUUAAAGACGGUACAAUCGUUCCGUAAUUCGGCAUUCAGUGAAUAUUUUUAUUGGCUGUAAAUUACGCCGAAACCCGAAGAGA